UACAGAGGGUGCGAGCGUUGUUCGGAAUUACUGGGCGUAAAGCGCGCGCAGGCGGCCCUUUAAGUCCAUCGGUCAAAUGCCGGAGCUCAACUCCGUGCGUGCCGAGGAUACUGGAGGGCUGGAGACACGUAGAGGCAAGCGGAAUUCCGGGUGUAGCGGUGGAAUGCGUAGAGAUCCGGAAGAACACCGGAGGCGAAGGCGGCU
rnacentral:rRNA from 1 species